CCUACGGGGGGCAGCAGUGAGGAAUAUUGGUCAAUGGACGAGAGUCUGAACCAGCCAAGUAGCGUGAAGGAUGACUGCCCUAGGGGUUGUAAACUUCUUUUAUAAAGGAAUAAAACGAGGCACGUGUGCCUUUUUGCAUGUACUUUAUGAAUAAGGAUCGGCGAACUCCGUGCCAGCAGCCGCGGUAAUACGGAGGAUCCGAGCGUUAUCCGGAUUUAUUGGGUUUAAAGGGAGCGUAGAUGGGUUGUUAAGUCAGUUGUGAAAGUUUGCGGCUCAACCGUAAAAUUGCAAUUGAUACUGGCAGUCUUGAGUACAGUUGAGGUAGGCGGAAUUCGUGGUGUAGCGGUGAAAUGCUUAGAUAUCACGAAGAACCCCGGUUGCGAAGGCAGCUUACUAAACUGUGACUGACAUUGAUGCUCGAAAGCGUGGGUAGCAAACAGGAUUAGAUACCCCUGUAGUC
rnacentral:rRNA from 1 species